rnacentral:misc_RNA from 1 species
UACGAAGGGGGCUAGCGUUGUUCGGAAUGACUGGGCGUAAAGGGCGCGUAGGCGGCUCAUCAAGUCAGGCUGUGAAAGCCCCGGGCUCAACCCGGGAAUUGCGCUUGAGACUGGUGGGCUUGAGUGCGGGAGAGGAUGGUGGAAUUCCCAGUGUAGAGGUGAAAUUCGUAGAUAUUGGGAAGAACACCGGUGGCGAAGGCGACCAUCUGGACCGCAACUGACGCUGAGGCGCGAAAGCGUGGGGAGCAAACAGG